rnacentral:rRNA from 1 species
AUUGAACGCUGGCGGCAGGCCUAACACAUGCAAGUCGAGCGAGCGGCGGACGGGUGAGUAAUGUAUGGGGACUGCCCGAUAGCGGGGGAUAACUACUGGAAACGGUAGCUAAUACCGCAUACUAUCGGAUAACCCAUAUGGGUGUAUCUAGUGGGUGAGGUAAUGGCUCACCUAGGCGACGAUCCCUAGCUGGUCUGAGAGGAUGAUCAGCCACACUGGGACGGGGACACGGCCCAGACUCCUACGGAGGCAGCAGUGGGGAAUAUUGCACAAGGGGCGCAAGCCUGAUGCAGCCAUGCCGCGUGUAUGAAGAAGGUCUUAGGGUUGUAAAGUACUUUCAGUCGGGAGGCGUUACCUAAAGAGGAAGCACCGGCUAACUCCGUGCCAGCAGCCGCGGUAAUAC